rnacentral:rRNA from 1 species
UACGUAGGGUGCAAGCGUUAAUCGGAAUUACUGGGCGUAAAGCGUGCGCAGGCGGUCGGGUGUGUCAGAUGUGAAAUCCCGAGGCUCAACCUCGGAACUGCGUCUGAAACUACUCGACUAGAGUACUGGAGAGGGUAACGGAAUUCACGGUGUAGCAGUGAAAUGCGUAGAUAUCGUGAGGAACACAGAGGCGAAGGCGGUUACCUGGACAGUUACUGACGCUCAGGCACGAAAGCAUGGGGAGCAAAAGG